rnacentral:rRNA from 1 species
UACGUAGGGACCAAGCGUUGUCCGGAUUUACUGGGCGUAAAGGGCGCGUAGGCGGCUUGACAAGUCACUUGUGAAAUCUCCGGGCUUAACUCGGAACGGCCAAGUGAAACUGUCAUGCUAGAGUGCAGAAGGGGCAAUCGGAAUUCUUGGUGUAGCGGUGAAAUGCGUAGAUAUCAAGAGGAACACCUGAGGUGAAGACGGGUUGCUGGGCUGACACUGACGCUGAGGCGCGAAAGCCAGGGGAGCAAACGGG